rnacentral:lncRNA from 1 species
CGAAUCUUGAAUAAACGAUCAGAAGAUUAUGGAGAGCAAAAAGUGUGUGUCUGGUUAAUACGCUUCCAUAAAAAUCUUCCCUGAAUAUUCAGCUGACAAUCGAGGGUUGGAGAAUAGUGACCAGAGGGACCGAGUCACCAGAGUAGCAGAUUUACCUUUCAGCUUGGUGUCAGAAGUGGGAUUGUAGCCAAAACCAUUUUGGGUGAGUAGUAAUUCCUUGUGUCUAUCUUGACGCCCUGAAUCUAUGAUCCCCAUGGUUUUGUAAGUCUACAUCAUUUUAGGAAAGGUUAUUUAGUAUAUGUGUUUUCUGUGACUCAGUUUUACAUAAGGUCCCGUUAAAUUAGUCUAGUAAGGGAACUAGACAGAGAGAUAUAUGUAUUUCUAGUAAGUGAACUAGAGAAGGUCUAAUAAGAGAAUUGGACAGAUAAAGUCUAUAAAGUGAUAUAGACAGAGAAUUUAGUAUAUAAGUGAAUAUACUACGAUAGUGUGCACAGAGUUUCAGGUUCACCUUGUCCACCCUCUAAUUGUCAUUAGUUAAGUCUGGUUCUGAGUGUGAAUAAGUGUUUGAAAGAUUUGUCCUAGGAAUGGGAAAUUACCAUGUAAGAAUAUGAAGUAGUUAACUUUUCUUGUUCAUAUGUAUUUUAUGCUUAAAUAAGGUUUAUAAUCAUUAGUGCUGACUGUAAGGAUAUGAAAUAGUUAAACUCUUUUUGCUUUAUAUGCUAGCCCUGAAAAUAUACUCACUGAGAAUCUUGUUAAAGCACAUUUGUAGUGUCCAUGUCUUUAUUGCAAACAAUGACUCUCCAUUAAUUGGGUGAUUGUCUAUAUUGGGGACACACUUUGGUAAGUUAGUAGUGUGUCCACCCUGAGUCAGCAGUAUGGGAAAUGUAAGUUCUGGU